rnacentral:rRNA from 1 species
AUGCAGUCGAGGGGUAUAGGUUUUCGGACCUAGAGACCGGCGCACGGGUGCGUAACGCGUAUGCAAUCUACCUUUCACAGAGGGAUAGCCCAGAGAAAUUUGGAUUAAUACCUCAUAGUAUUACGAGAUGGCAUCAUUUUGUAAUUAAAGUCACAACGGUGAAAGAUGAGCAUGCGUCCCAUUAGCUUGUUGGUAAGGUAACGGCUUACCAAGGCUACGAUGGGUAGGGGUCCUGAGAGGGAGAUCCCCCACACUGGUACUGAGACACGGACCAGACUCCUACGGGAGGCAGCAGUGAGGAAUAUUGGUCAAUGGACGCAAGUCUGAACCAGCCAUGCCGCGUGCAGGAUGACGGUCCUAUGGAUUGUAAACUGCUUUUGCACAGGAAGAAACAACAUUACGUGUAAUGUCUUGACGGUACUGUGAGAAUAAGGAUCGGCUAACUCCGUGCCAGCAGCCGCGGUAAUACGGAGGAUCCAAGCGUUAUCCGGAAUCAUUGGGUUUAAAGGGUCCGUAGGCGGUUUAGUAAGUCAGUGGUGAAAGCCCAUCGCUCAACGGUGGAACGGCCAUUGAUACUGCUAGACUUGAAUUAUUAGGAAGUAACUAGAAUAUGUAGUGUAGCGGUGAAAUGCUUAGAGAUUACAUGGAAUACCAAUUGCGAAGGCAGGUUACUACUAAUGGAUUGACGCUGAUGGACGAAAGCGUGGGUAGCGAACAGGAUUAGAUACCCUGGUAGUCCACGCCGUANACGAUGGAUACUAGCUGUUGGGAGCAAUCUCAGUGGCUAAGCGAAAGUGAUAAGUAUCCCACCUGGGGAGUACGUUCGCAAGAAUGAAACUCAAAGGAAUUGACGGGGGCCCGCACAAGCGGUGGAGCAUGUGGUUUAA